UACGUAGGGACCAAGCGUUGUUCGGAUUUACUGGGCGUAAAGGGCGCGUAGGCGGCAAAUUAAGUCAUCUGUGAAAUCUCCGAGCUUAACUCGGAACGGUCAGGUGAUACUGAUCUGCUAGAGUGCGGAAGGGGCAAUCGGAAUUCUUGGUGUAGCGGUGAAAUGCGUAGAUAUCAGGAAGAACACCCGUGGCGAAGGCGGCUCUCUGGAACGCAACUGACGCUGAGACGCGAAAGCGUGGGGAGCAAACAGG
rnacentral:rRNA from 1 species